UACGGAGGGUGCGAGCGUUGUUCGGAAUCAUUGGGCGUAAAGCGCGUGUAGGCGGCUUGGCAAGUCGGUUGUGAAAUCCCGGGGCCCAACCCCGGAACUGCAAUCGAAACUGCCUCGCUAGAGUCCCGGAGAGGAAGGCGGAAUUCCCGGUGUAGAGGUGAAAUUCGUAGAGAUCGGGAGGAACACCAGUGGCGAAGGCGGCCUUCUGGACGGUGACUGACGCUGAGACGCGAAAGAGUGGGGAGCAAACAGG
rnacentral:rRNA from 1 species